rnacentral:tRNA from 1 species
AGUAUAGUGCCUGACAAAAGGGUAGUUUUGAUAGGACUAAUUAUGUAAAUUUUUUUUACCUAUGCUGUUACCAUUA